AAGCAGGCUCUGUGUCCCCACCCAAAUCUCAUGUUGAAUUGUAAUCCUCAGUGUUGGAGGGACCUGGUGGGAGGUGACUGGAUCAUGGAGGUGGACUUCCCUCUUGCUAUUCUCAUGACAGGGAGUGAGUUCUUAUGAGAUCUGGUUGUUUCAAAGAGGGUAGAGCUUCCUCCUUCGCACUGUCUCCCCUGCUCUGCCAUGGUAAGAUGUGCUUGCUUCCUCUUCAUCUUCCACCAUAAUUGUAAGUUUCCUGAGGCCUCCGCAGCAUGCUUCCUGUGCAGCCUGUGGAAUUGUGAGCCAACUAGCAGUGCGAGAACAGAUGAAUACAAAAGUAAGCCAUUCCAGGUCAAUUCCUUUCUCAAUAGGUGGGUUGGAUGUUGCACACUGGAAAGCAGAGACGUGGAAACCCCAGCAUGCAGGUCUUGUUCAUGCUCUCCUCUCACCUCCCCAGGAGCCGCGUGAGCUGGAGACUAUUGGCCCCAUUCUUACACGGAUGAGCACUAAGGUCCAGAGAGGUCAGAACCUUGGCCAGGGCCACACAGUGGGCAAGGAGCAAAACAGAGAAUUCAAAUGCAGAGCUUCAGACUCUAUCACCUACCCCACAGCAACAUCUCCAGUUACCUGGAUCCAGGCCCAGUUCAAGAACAUCCACGUCAGAGGGACAGAAGAGGUAACCGUCUUCUGUGCUUCUACAAGAGACAAGAAUCCAGUAGCCCCCCUGGGAUCGUCUAGUCGCUCCUUGGGUUUCAUGAAACUCAAGAGGGGCCCACAAAAUAAAUGGCAUGUAAGUGUCAGCUGUUACUGGGGCAUUUUGGCUUUUGGAAAACCUGGGAAUGAGAGUCAGCCGAUGUCGGAUCUUAAUAGCUGUGUCAUUGGCCAUGUGCAUAACCUUUCUGGGACUUCAUAG
ensembl:lncRNA